AGCAUAGGAACAGGGUCGAAUCUCCUUUCAGGUCUUCGUUGACAUUGUUUCUUAUGUUAUUAUGGAUAACAUUGUUUUUGUUGAUGAUGAUGUUGUUGUUGUUGCUGGUAUGGUGGUUGUUGAUAUGGAGUAGGUUGUUGGGAUAGCAUACGAUUGUUGAUUCUGAAUUGGUGCCACAAUGACAACUUGUUGGUAUAGGACUCAAUAAGUUAUGACUCUUCCUCUCACCACAUCGG
rnacentral:lncRNA from 1 species